rnacentral:rRNA from 1 species
AUGAUCGACGGCGACGCCAACGCCAACGCCGCCGGCGCGCAGAAGUUCAACCAGGGCCUCUUCGACCGCAUCGUCGCCGGCAAGGGCACCCCGCGCCGGCCCCAGAUGCCCGACGUCUACGUCUUCGCGCUGCUGGACGAGGACGCCAAGAGCGUCGACCCCGGCAACUUCGAGCGCCACUGGGGCGUCUUCAACUACGACGGCUCGCCCAAGUACGCGCUCCGCCUCGCCGGCGGCAAGGGCAUCGUGCCGGCCAAGGGCGUCAGGUACCUGUCCAAGCAGUGGUGCGUGCUCCGCCCCGACGCCAGCCCCACCGACCCGGCCAUCGUGGGUGCCGUGGGGUACGCGUGCCAGUAUGCCGACUGCACCAGCCUCAGCCCCGGCUCCUCCUGCGGCGGCCUCGACGUCAGGGGCAACGUCUCCUACGCCUUCAACCAGUUCUUCCAGUCAGCCAGCCAGCAGAAGGGAUCCUGCGGCUUCAACAACCUCUCCGUGGUCACCACCACCGACCCGUCGCGGGGCACCUGCCGCUUCAAGAUCAUGAUCGACACCGGCCGGCACGACCUCACCCACCAGGACGACUCCGGCGCCGCCAGGGCCGCCGCCGCGUGGGGCGCCGUCGUCGCCAUGCUCGCAUUGCUCGCCAUCGUGGCACUCUGA